GACGAACGCUGGCGGCGUGCCUAAUACAUGCAAGUAGAACGAGUGGCGGACGGGUGAGUAAUGUCUGGGAACCUGCCCGAUGGAGGGGGAUAACUAUUGGAAACGAUAGCUAAUACCGCAUACUUUUGGAUGGACCUGCUUUGUAUUAGCUAGUUGGUGAGGUAACGGCUCACCAAGGCGACGAUACAUAGCCGACCUGAGAGGGUGACCAGCCACACUGGAACUGAGACACGGUCCAGACUCCUACGGGAGGCAGCAGUGGGGAAUAUUGCACAAUGGGCGCAAGCCUGAUGCAGCCAUGCCGCGUGGAUGAAGAAGGCCUUCGGGUUGUAAAGUACUUUCAGCGAGGAGGCGUUACCCGCAGAAGAAGCACCGGCUAACUCCGUGCCAGCAGCCGCGGUAAUUC
rnacentral:rRNA from 1 species